AUGUGUCUUAUGGCUGGUAGCAAAAGUGCUACCUCCUGCGACGACUACGACAGCGACAACAACAAUGAGGCACUUCGCGCGAGGAAGGAGAACAUAUGGCUAGUGGACUCCGGUUGUUCUCGUCACAUGACCGGUGAUAAAAAAUGGUUCUCCUCCCUCACACGUGCAUCUCGGGCUGAGAGUGUAACUUUUGGAGAUGCUUCUACUUCUACUGUUGUAGCGAAAGGUACAGUAAAGGUAACCGACAAAUUUAUGUUCAAAGAUGUUGCUUUGGUUGAAAAUCUGAAAUACAACUUGUUGUCGGUUUCACAAAUGAUUGAUGAGGAUCUUGAAGUUUCAUUUAAGAAAAAUGCUUGCAAAGUUUUAGAUGCUUCAGGUGAUCUUGUCUUUGAGAUAUCACGCUUUGGGAGAGUUUUUAAGGCUGAUUUUCAUGCUUCUUCAAAUGUUAAGUUUAGGUGUCUAGUUGCCAAUACAUCUACAGAUUUAUUCUUUUGGCAUCGUAGACUUGGGCAUAUUGGUUUUGAUCAUCUCACUCGUAUAAGUGGUAUGAAUCUUAUAAAUGGUUUGCCUAAACUUAAGAGAGAAAAAGAUAUUGUAUGCUCUCCUUGUAGACAUGGUAAGAUGGUUGCAGGUUCACAUGCACGCAUUACCAGUGUCAUGACUAACGCUCCAGGACAGCUUCUACAUCUUGAUACGGUUGGUCCAUCAAGGGUACAAUCUUUUGGGGGUAAGUGGUAUGUUUUGGUGAUUGUUGAUGAUUAUUCAAGAUAUUCUUGGGUUUAUUUUAUGGCAUCUAAGGAUGAGGCUUUUAGUCACUUUAAGAGUCUUGUGCAUAGACUAAGUGUUGAGCACCCAGGAUCUUUGAAAACAAUAAGAAGUGAUAAUGGAACUGAAUUUAAGAAUUCAUAUUUUAAUCACUUUUGUGAUGAAUUUGUCAUUGAGCAUCAAUUUUCUUCACCUUAUGUACCACAACAAAAUGGUGUAGUGGAGCGUAAGAAUAGAACUCUAGUUGAGAUGGCCCGUACUAUGCUUGAUGAAUUUUCUACUCCUAGAAAGUUUUGGGCUGAAGCUAUAUCUACUGCUUGUUAUGUUUCAAAUCGUGUGUUCUUGAGAUCUAAAAUUGGCAAAACACCAUAUGAACUACGAUUUGGGCGUAAACCUAUUGUAUCUCACCUAAGAGUUUUUGGUUGUAAAUGCUUUGUGCUUAAAUCUGGCAAUCUAGAUAAGUUUGAAUCUAGAUCAUAUGAUGGCAUUUUCCUUGGAUAUCCUACUCAUUCACGUGGUUACCGUGUUUAUGUUUAUGAGACUAACCGAAUAAUGGAAACCAGUGAAGUGACUUUUGAUGAGGCUAGUUCUGGCUCUAGUCCUCGCAUUUCUGAUGCAGGAACAUAUGUUCAGGGGGAGGAAAUCUUUGUAGAUGAUGAAGAUGACGAGGAGGAUGGCGUGCCCCCUGCUGUCCAUGCGCAAACUCCAGCUGUUCCUACACCUACAACUACUGCUGCUACAGCUGGACAUCCUCAAGAGACUACUUCAACUACAAAUGUUGGGGAUGAGCAUGCUGCUGAGUCAAAUAUUUCAGCACCCCGACAUAUUCAGAAAAGGCACCCUCCUGAGCAGAUUAUUGGAAGCAUGGAUGAGAGAGUCACACGGUCAAGGUUUAUCGAUUCUGACUAUCAUACUCAUUCAGCAUUUGUUGCUUCUUUUGAGCCCAAAGAUAUAUCUCAUGCAUUAACUGAUGAAUCAUGGAUCAAUGCCAUGCAUGAGGAAUUAGAAAAUUUUGAGCGUAACAAAGUUUGGACUCUUGUUUCACCUCCUUCUGGUCAUACUCUUAUUGGAACUCGUUGGGUUUUCAAAAACAAACAAAAUGAGGAUGGUGUUAUUGUUCGCAACAAGGCUAGGUUGGUUGCUCAGGGUUUUACUCAAGUUGAAGGUCUUGAUUUUGAUGAAACUUUUGCUCCUGUUGCUAGAUUGGAAGCUAUAAAAUUUUAUUGA
rnacentral:rRNA from 1 species